rnacentral:rRNA from 1 species
CCCUUAGACGUUCUGGGCCGCACGCGCGCUACACUGACGGAGCCAGCGAGUAUAAACCUUGGCCGAGAGGUCUGGGAAAUCUUGUGAAGCUCCGUCGUGCUGGGGAUAGAGCAUUGUAAUUAUUGCUCUUCAACGAGGAAUUCCUAGUAAGCGCAAGUCAUCAGCUUGCGUUGAUUACGUCCCUGCCCUUUGUACACACCGCCCGUCGCUACUACCGAUUGAAUGGCUUAGUGAGGCUUCCGGAUUGGUUUAGAGAAGGGGGCAACUCCAUCUUGGAACCGAGAAGCUAGUCAAACUUGGUCAUUUAGAGGAAGUAAAAGUCGUAACA